rnacentral:rRNA from 1 species
AACGAACGCUGGCGGCAGGCUUAACACAUGCAAGUCGAACGAGAUCUUCGGAUCUAGUGGCAGACGGGUGAGGAACACGUGGGAACAUCCCUUUCAGUUCGGAAUAACGUUGGGAAACUAACGCUAAUACCGGAUACGUCCUUCGGGAGAAAGAUUUAUCGCUGAAAGAUUGGCCCGCGUCUGAUUAGCUAGUGUGUGAGGUAAUGGCUCACCAAGGCUACGAUCAGUAGCUGAUCUGAGAGGAUGAUCAGCCACAUUGGGACUGAGACACGGCCCAAACUCCUACGGGAGGCAGCAGUGGGGAAUAUUGGACAAUGGGCGCAAGCCUGAUCCAGCCAUGCCGCGUGAGUGAUGAAGGCCUUCGGGUUGUAAAGCUCUUUUAUCCGGGAAGAUAAUGACUGUACCGGAAGAAUAAGCCCCGGCAAANUUCGUGCCAGCAGCCGCGGUAA